UCGCCUCCCAGGGCAAGCGCAGGUGCGUUCAGUUUCCCACAGCUAAAACAGCUCUCGCUUCAGAAGGGACGACAGAACCAGAGAUGUUUAUUCUGGAUCGUGGCCCUGGAAUACAGAUUCGGGUUACCCCAAAUAUCAUGUUCCAGCGUGGUAACAGUUUCACGGAGUUUCCAUAGUAACAGAACAAAGAAAGUCAAAAAGGAACACUCCUUUCUAAUAGGUAGGAACACCAGCAAGGCGGGUAUGACAAGGGAACCUCAGAUGCGGUCUGCUGGGGGUCUCAGCGUUCAGGUUGGAAGGAGCUAGAGAUCUGUUUGCAUCAAUAGGUCCCCCACACAGAAGUGGGCAACAUGUGGCUAUGUACUGGCUAAAGUGGCUCAAGAUCAUUUGGCUCGGGACCUGCAACACUCCAACUCUCCACAAUCCCUGAACUGUGACUUCUUUCUAGAGCCUAACGUAGGUUAAGGGUUCCACCACCCCACCGAAAAAUGCUGGUAGAGCCACGGGCAUCUAUGGAAAAUCUGACCCUCCUCUCCGGUCCCUCCUGCCUAAAAGAUGACGUCCAGACAGUUCCAGGCUGACUCCGCAGGUGGAGAGCCAGUCAACAGCUACCCUGCACUGGAUCAUUUGAUAACUUCUGGGAACUUCAGUUCCUCCCGGUGAAACAGAACACUAGUACUUGAAAGACUAAGAGGGUGAACUGUGGUCAGGGACUUGGACAGUCCCUGACAGAAACGUAUUUUACUUGGCCUCCCUUAGGGAAGGAUCCAGAGGGCUUGGGUUAUAAUAAAAUGCAAAUAUUUAAAUUAAGGUGGGCGAAAGAGGCGUAGGUGAAACCAGGAAAGAGUCCAACAUGAUAAUUGCAGUAAUUACACCAGGAGUCAACCCCUGAAGGGAGCGGACCACUUGCUGAGGUGAGACAGUAGAGGGCUGGGGUGUGGCCGAAGCCUGGCUUCUGAGCCUGGAAGGGAUCACCUGGACAUCUUGUUAAAAUGCAAACUCCAUUCAGCAGGUCCAGGGUGGGCCAGAUAACCUGUUCUAACCAGCUCUAGGUUGGACUGCUCCCCGGCUGGAAUAUCCUGACUGUGAGGGAAAGCUAAGAGUCCCUCAGACUCAGGGAGCCCUGUAAAGCAGAUGGGUUGAGCUGGGGAUGAAGUGCCCUUGUGAAUGCUGUUGCCCCUGCCUGAGGCUGAAGUCCAGGAGUUGGGAACAAGCCGAAUAAAUUGGAAGGAGGCAGCUUUGGAAGGCCUUUCAUGCCACGAUCCCACUUAGCACUCCAGCAUGUAGGAGUGGGGAGAGAGCUUGGUUUGACACCCUCAAAACCCUUGGCAUCAUGUACAGGAGGAACUAGAGGAGGCCUGCCCUGCUCUCUGCCUGGCAGGGGUUUCUACGGCAGACCUGCCUGAGUAGGAGAGGGCCAUACUCAGCCAGGGGUCCAAAUGAGCCCAAUUAUGUUUCCAGGAUCAGAGGACAUGGCCAAUGGAUUGUCUAAACAGAGGUUACACUCACCCUGAAUGUUCCAACAGAUGUUCCCAGUCUGUCCAGGGAUAGUCUGGUCUAGCCCAGCUCGUGGGCAGAACAGGCCCAGAGCAUGGAGCUGUACCAGAACCAGCCAGGGGCCAUGGUCUCCCUAUGGCAACUUUCCAAAAGAGACCUAUUAGGGGGACCUGGAAGGGGAAAAAUGGCUCAUUAAAGUUGAACUUUGCCACUCA